UUGGUACGCCUGCUGCUGGUUUGGUUACGGUUUAGACGCGAAAUUUGUAAAGAGUAGUAGUAGUAGUAGUAGUAGUAGUAGUAGUAGUAGUAGUAGUAGUAGUAGUAGUAGUAGUAGUAGUAGUAGUAGUAGUAGUAGUAGUAGUAGUAGUAGUAGUAGUAGUAGUAGUAGUAGUAGUAGUAAAGAUAAUAAUAAUGAUGAUAAUAAUAAUUAUAAUAGUGAUAAUAAUAAUGGAAGUAAUAAUAAUAAAUCAAAAUUCGCAAGACUAAACAGGAGUAUGCAAUGCAAAGAAGAGAGUUGUUUAAGACUAGGGGUGGUGUUCCUGCAAAAGGUGUACAUGACAUCAUAUGUGAUGAACUAGGAGUUUGACAGCGAUGCAUUUACUGCCCUUUGCAAUUCUACCCAGUUGCAGAUUCCCUGAGAUGAUACCCAAGUACAUGUCUCAAGUGUGUAUAUGGGUGAGGACUUGGAAGUCCCUUGAGCAAGUUCAUAGAAUUGUGGCAAACAUUCACCCCUACACACUAAUGUUGGACAAAAAG